AGGACGAACGCUGGCGGCGUGCUUAACACAUGCAAGUCGAACGGUAAGGCCUCUUCGGGGGUACACGAGUGGCGAACGGGUGAGUAACACGUGGGUGACCUGCCUUGAGCUCUGGGAUAAGCCUGGGAAACUGGGUCUAAUACCGGAUAUGACCUGUCCUUGCAUGGGGGUGGGUGGAAAGUUUUUUCGGCUUGAGAUGGGCCCGCGGCCUAUCAGCUUGUGGUGGGUGAUGGCCUACCAAGGCGGCGACGGGUA
rnacentral:rRNA from 1 species